AAUUUGGGAGCCCGCCUUUUUAGUAAAGUAUUCUACUUUUCUUUUUUAUUUCUCUACUUUUUUAUUUCCAAACCUCUACCCACUUUUGACCAUCGUGUUACCGUCUUCCUCUUCUUCUUCUAAUCAAUUGUCUAAAACCUAGUUGAAAAAUUUGGUAAAGACCGAAUCUUGAACACCACCACCUCUUUCCAACGCAACCUCCUACAAGAGCCUCAACGAAUGGAAGGAGCCUCUAAGUCGCCGGAGGAGCGAAGUCAGAGACCGAGUGAUAACGGUCGUGCGACGAUGAGGUGCUCCGACCAUUCUAGUGCCGGAGCCUCUCCGACCAUUCCAGUGACCCAGUGAUAACGGUCGCUGGAAUCGCCGACUCAGCCGAGGAUGCUCAAUUAACUCGCUCAGGACCGAAUUCAUCUCUAGGCUUCCCGACAAGGUCCGUUCUGGUCUUGAUGUUGAGUCCAGUCCCUACGAUAUCGACCUAACUCGGACCAGUGGCUUGAGUGGAGGUUUGUUUCAACUUCAAUUAAAGAAAGAAGCUCCGAAUACAUAUCCUCUUCUCGUUUUGCCCAGUUUUUUCUCUUUCACUUCAUCAGCAGACGAUAGAAAGAAGCUCCUUAGACGCCAAUCCGCCACCGCACUCCAAACCCACACCCACACCCACGGUGGCGCCACUGUAGCUAUGGAGAUAUUUUAAAAGUUCAGGACUUGAAUGCAAUAUUACGUCAUUUUGGAAUGCGAAAGAGAUGGCACAAGCUUUCCCAUGUGCUACAUCUUGCAAAUUAUUUAGCUGAACACUCCAUUGCUACAUCUGUUGAACAUACAAAGUUGGCUAUGUGAUAUUAACAACUUUACUCAAGGUAUAUGUCAGAGGAGGUUUGUUUGAAAAGUCUAGAGAACUGUUAGCUGCACUGCAAGCUAAGGGCUACGCCGAAGAUGAGCUUUAUCGGACCUCCACCGUCGUCCAAACUAGAUUCCAAGGGAAUGGUUGUGCUCUGGACACCGAGAGGAUGAAAAGCCACCAAAGAAUCUGGGUAAUUAUGAAAGCUCUUAAAUCUGAAGAAGUCAAAUCACAAGGUCGGGUUGGAACUUGUUGGUGAAAGCCUCAUCUUUUUUCUUUGUUUUGUUUGCAAAAAGGGUCUUGAGUAUAAAGCUUAGCAACAAAGCAAAGUAGUGUUCAAUUACUUGGUGCAAUGGCCAAUCGUGCUCCUGAGCAAUUGUCCCAGUGUCUCCAUAAGAUUGUACGAAAACUGACAGAGGUCUCUCUUUGUGUUUAUGAAUUUUUUAAUUUAUUAUGUAAAAUAUUUCAUGCUCAUACUUAAUUUUGUUUAUCUUUGUCUUCUUUAAACUCUUAGAAAUGCAGGUUUUAACUAAUGUCCAUCCAAGUUUUUGCUGGUUAUGCAGAAGCAUAGUAAAUAUAUGUGAAACUUGGCUUUUUAUGUGUGUCCAGUUCAUUAAAAUUUUGUAUUUAAAUUGUAUUGUUCUUCUACCUCUCUUUAUUAUAGUAUAUAUUGGUGAGUUUGAAUAUAUUGAUGACCACCGUUCUGGGAAAAUUGUGGUGGAGCUCAAGGAUGUUGACAGGUGAGACUCUUGACAUCCAUAGUUUAUUGUUAUUUAUAAGAAAUUGCUAGUUGAAUAUUAAAUGGCAACUCAUUCUUACAUUAUAUUUGGCUGGGAGGACAUCAAAACUUGAUUAAGUAAAAUUAUAAUACAAUGAUAGGGACACACAUUUUUUUCUUACUGUCAUUGAUUUAUAAUUUUUUUGGUUAACCGUGAGACUUGUUCUUGAAUAAUAAGAAUAUUGUUGGUUUAAUCUGUGUUUUGAGUCAUCCAAUAUGUCUAAUUUUCUCUGAAGUAGUGGCUAUUUCAUAUUGAGUUUUACAAUUAGUUAAGAAUGUUGGUUAUGCAAAAUAGUGAAUAAAUUGACUUUGAAGUCUAAAGAUGUGUUCUUUGCUCUUGUUUUAAAUAUUUAUUGUUUAAAUUGUUCUCAAUGCAUACUCUAUGCUUUUUGAUUCUCUCUCUCUCUC